CCAAGACUUUCUGACACCAAAAAGUUACGCAGAAGAUUCAUCUGCCGGGCUGGGCUCUUAGGAAUCUGUCCAGGUGCCCCAGUGGAAUCAGCCCGAGUGUCUUCGUUCCUGAUAAGUGCUUUCCUGGGAAGCAUUUAGCACAUCCUGAACCAAGCACAGGCACCGAAUGUGGAGAUCAAUUAUGCAGCUACAGCCAAAACCAAGCUCUCUUUAUUGCAAUGGUAAUGAAAGUAGCUCCAUGUAAGUCAUUGGAAGGUCACGUGUUCACAGACUGUCAGCUGUGGAGGGUUAUGUAACAGUGGUUAUGCAAUGCCAUGUUAGAACUGCAGCCCCAGCAGCAAAACAUUUCGUUAUUUUCUUGAAUUAAAAUAAGACUUCCACUUUCUUUGAGUGACAAAUCGCUUUUAACAAAACCAAGACUUGGGUUUUAGUGUUCACUCCCACGCGAGUCUCUGUAAGCCACAUUUCACCUCCUGUGCGUGGCUGGUCCCAUUGAGUAGAUUUCUGAAAGUAAAAUUUCUGACAUGAGCCUAUUCACUCUGCUCAGUUGUCAUCUUCUGUCAGGAUGAGUUAUGGGCAAAUCCCCCCAUGAAAUCUACGGCACAUCAUGAAGCCCCUCAAAUCUGAAGGGCUUGCUGGUAUGAUGGCUCACGCCUGUAAUCCCAGAACUUUGGAAGGCCGAGGUGGGUGGAUCUCUUAAGGUCAGGAGUUUGAGACCAGCCUGGCCAACAUGGUGAGACCUCGUCUCUACUAAAAAUAGAAAAAUUAGCCUGGCCUGGUGGCACAUGCCUAUAAUCCCAGCUACUCAGGAGGUCAGGGCAAGAGAAUCACUUGAACCCAGGAGGUGGAGGUUGCAGUGAGCCAAGAUCACCCCACUGCAUUCCAGCCUGGGUGACAGAGUGAGACUCAAAAAAAAAAAAAAAAACCCUAAGGCUCAUGAGUCUCCUUCACUAAUGUACUGUCUUUGUUCCAAGAUACUUCACCCCUUUAAAAGUUAAUAGGGGAGAUCAAGAGGAGAUAUUGAGAGAUCAAAAUGAAAUAAAGCCUUCACUUCCUCUGA